UGCCAGACUCCUACGGGAGGCAGCAGUGGGGAAUAUUGCACAAUGGGGGAAACCCUGAUGCAGCGACGCCGCGUGAGUGAAGAAGUAUUUCGGUAUGUAAAGCUCUAUCAGCAGGGAAGAAAAUGACGGUACCUGAUUAAGAAGCCCCGGCUAACUACGUGCCAGCAGCCGCGGUAAUACGUAGGGGGCAAGCGUUAUCCGGAUUUACUGGGUGUAAAGGGAGCGUAGACGGCAGCGCAAGUCUGAAGUGAAAGCCCGCGGCUUAACCGCGGAACGGCUUUGGAAACUGUGGAACUGGAGUGCUGGAGAGGCAAGCGGAAUUCCUAGUGUAGCGGUGAAAUGCGUAGAUAUUAGGAGGAACACCAGUGGCGAAGGCGGCUUGCUGGACAGUAACUGACGUUGAGGCUCGAAAGCGUGGGGAGCAAACAGGAUUAGAUACCCGAGUAC
rnacentral:rRNA from 1 species